UGGGGGGAAAAAAAUUAAACAUGAAGUUAAAAAAAUUGAAGUAAACCUCAUGAAUCACAGAAACGGUAAAAUUCAUCCACAUAUGUAAAAUCCAAAAAGGAAACAACAUUGCAAAUUAAGUUAUAUAUUUACAAAAAAAUAAUUUUCCAUGUUCUUGAAUGUAUGUAUAAACUAUACAGAGUAUCGUAAGUUAAAGCACGAAUAAUUCCACGACGACGAGCACUAUAAUCUUCGAUGAUCUCCUCUAGAGUCCUGGGGUUUGAAGAAACUGAAGUAUACAAAUUAUGGAAUCUAAAAUUUAUCGAUAAUUAUGAAUUGAUUAUUCCAUAGAUUAAAAAAAAUGUGCGGCUAGGUUUCCUUGAUGGUGGUGAGUAGAGGCCAAGAGGGAAAGGGAAUAAUGUUGAAAAUAAUGAAUAGAAGAGGACAAUAAAGCUUUUAAAUUUGUUUCUGUAAAGCGGAAGCGGAAGCGAAACCAAUGAAGAAUGUAGAAGAAAAAAAAAUUGAAGAGGAUCAUUAUGGUGCUAGGGUAAG
rnacentral:lncRNA from 1 species